rnacentral:rRNA from 1 species
AGCGAACGCUGGCGGCAGGCCUAACACAUGCAAGUCGAACGAACUCUUCGGAGUUAGUUGCGGACGGGCGAGUAACACGUGGGAACGUGCCUUUUGGUUCGGAAUAACUCAGGGAAACUUGUGCUAAUACCGAAUGUGCCCUUCGGGGGAAAGAUUUAUCGCCAUUAGAGCGGCCCGCGUCUGAUUAGCUAGUUGGUGAGGUAACGGCUCACCAAGGCGACGAUCAGUAGCUGGUCUGAGAGGAUGACCAGCCACACUGGGAUUGAGACACGGCCCAGACUCCUACGGGAGGCAGCAGUGGGGAAUCUUGCGCAAUGGGCGAAAGCCUGACGCAGCCAUGCCGCGUGAAUGAUGAAGGUCUUAGGAUUGUAAAAUUCUUUCACCGGGGACGAUAAUGACGGUACCCGGAGAAGAAGCCCCGGCUAACUUCGUG